CAACCGAUGGUGCCGGUGGCCGGAAAAAAGAGGAAAGGGCCCGGCUGAAACAGAGCAAAACAGGAUUCACCCUUUUCAUAGAUUUUUCAAUGAUCCCGAAGGCCGGCGAGGGUGCACGAAGCCAUGGGAAAGGAGAGGAAGGAAGAGAGGAAGGAGAAGAAGGGUUUACCUCAAGCUUCAGUAGCGUCGUCGGCUCUGAUUUCUGGCGAGCAUGGGUACGGGAGGCCUCGACUUCAAUUAGAGAAAAAUAAAGAGAAAGGAGAGAGAGAGAGAGACCGGUGAUCAUCAUGGGUUGUUGAGG
rnacentral:lncRNA from 1 species